rnacentral:rRNA from 1 species
CACGUAGGGCGCAAGCGUUGUCCGGAAUUACUGGGCGUAAAGGGCGCGUAGGCGGCCAACUAAGUCAGACGUGAAAUCCCUCGGCUCAACCGGGGAACUGCGUCUGAUACUGGAUGGCUUGAAUUCGGGAGAGGGAUGCGGAAUUCCAGGUGUAGCGGUGAAAUGCGUAGAUAUCUGGAGGAACACCGGUGGCGAAGGCGGCAUCCUGGACCGAGAUUGACGCUGAUGCGCGAAAGCCAGGGGAGCAAACGGG